rnacentral:rRNA from 1 species
GAUGAACGCUGGCGGCGUGCUUAACACAUGCAAGUCGAACGGAAAGGCCCCGCUUUUGUGGGGUUCUCGAGUGGCGAACGGGUGAGUAACACGUGAGUAACCUGCCCUUGACUUUGGGAUAACUUCAGGAAACUGGGGCUAAUACCGGAUAGGAGCUCCUGCUGCAUGGUGGGGGUUGGAAAGUUUCGGCGGUUGGGGAUGGACUCGCGGCUUAUCAGCUUGUUGGUGGGGUAGUGGCUUACCAAGGCUUUGAAGGGUAGGCGGCCUGUGAGGGUGACCGGCCACAUUGGGCCUGCGAUACGGCCCAGACUCCUACGGGAGGCAGCAGUGGGGAACAUUGCACAAUGGGCGGAAGCCUGUUACAGCAACGCCGGGUGCGGAAAGACGGCCUUCGGGUUAUGAACCGCUUUCGCCUGUGACGAAGCGUGAGUGACGGUAAUGGGUAAAGAAGCACCGGCUAACUACGUG